GACGUAGGGCGCGAGCGUUUGUCCGGAUUUAUUGGGCGUAAAGAGCUCGUAGGCGGCUUGUCGCGUCGACUGUGAAAACCUGCGGCUCAACCGUGUGGUCUGCAGUCGAUACGGGCAGGCUAGAGUUCGGUAGGGGGAGACUGGAAUUCCUGGUGUAGCGGUGAAAUGCGCAGAUAUCAGGAGGAACACCGGUGGCGAAGGCGGCAUCCUGGACCAAUUCUGACGCUGAGGAGCGAAAGCCAGGGGAGCAAACGGG
rnacentral:rRNA from 1 species